rnacentral:rRNA from 1 species
UACGAAGGGUGCAAGCGUUACUCGGAAUUACUGGGCGUAAAGCGUGCGUAGGUGGUUCGUUAAGUCUGUCGUGAAAGCCCCGGGCUCAACCUGGGAAUGGCGAUGGAUACUGGCGGGCUAGAGUGCGGUAGAGGAGAGUGGAAUUCCCGGUGUAGCAGUGAAAUGCGUAGAGAUCGGGAGGAACAUCAGUUGCGAAGGCGGCUCUCUGGACCAGCACUGACGCUGAGGCACGAAAGCGUGGGGAGCAAACAGG